AACAAGGCCACUUCACCAUCCCUGCAGUGAUUCCUCAGUAAUUCACCACCAGAAGCACCAUCACCUUCCUUCUGUGUCCCUCCACAAAGCCAGUUGGGACUUCUAGAUAUUUUUGAAGGCAUAUUGAACUAGAUGGUGUUCUAGGGUACUAAUUUCAAGCUGUUGUUCUCCUAACCAUGCCACCAUAGCAGCAAUUUUAUUCUGAUGCAUAGAUUUGUAUAGAGAGGGUAAGAAAUUAUUCCAUGAAGUGAUCCCUUCUCAGAAUUUUAAAUAAGAAAUGGAAAAACUUUCUGUACUCUCAGAGUUUUCAUAAUUUCCCCUGGGGUAGGAGGGCAGGUGCAGAAGGGAACGGAACAAAGAUAAAGAAACAGCCACGUGGACGUGUGGUGGAAGAUCGUUUGAAGGAGGAGAAGAGCAAGUCAAAGGCCCUGAGGCAAGAGCACACUGGGCAUGUUCAAGGGGAUUCUGGGAGUUGGAAGAGGCCAACUUUUCCUACCUGCAGUUUGAAGAUUAAGGACUUAGAGAUUUGUUGAGAGGCUGCUUCCGAGAGGUUACUGAUACACUGAGGACAGGAACUACUGACUACUCUGAAUGAGGGAAAAACAUCCAGUUUGGGGUGAUCCUGUUUUGCAAUGGCAGCUGUCAGCCAUAACAUGGUGGGAAAUAACGGUAAAUAAACCUCCUGUGAUUGGCAAGAAUAUAAAAAAA
rnacentral:lncRNA from 1 species